UACGUAGGGGGCAAGCGUUGUCCGGAAUUAUUGGGCGUAAAGCGCGCGCAGGCGGUUCUUUAAGUCUGAUGUGAAAGCCCACGGCUCAACCGCGGAGGGUCAUUGGAAACUGGGGAACUUGAGUGCAGAAGAGGAAAGUGGAAUUCCAAGUGUAGCGGUGAAAUGCGUAGAGAUUUGGAGGAACACCAGUGGCGAAGGCGACUUUCUGGUCUGUAACUGACACUGAGGCGCGAAAGCGUGGGGAGCGAACAGG
rnacentral:rRNA from 1 species